AAUGGGGGAAACCCUGAUGCAGCAAUGCCGCGUGAGGGAAGACGGUUUUCGGAUUGUAAACCUCUGUCUUCGGUGACGAAACAAAUGACGGUAGCCGAAGAGGAAGCUCCGGCUAACUACGUGCCAGCAGCCGCGGUAAUACGUAGGGAGCAAGCGUUGUCCGGAAUUACUGGGUGUAAAGGGAGCGUAGGCGGGUAGUCAAGUCAGAUGUGAAAUUUAAGGGCUUAACCCUUAACGUGCAUUUGAAACUGGUUAUCUUGAGUGAAGUAGAGGCAGGCGGAAUUCCUAGUGUAGCGGUGAAAUGCGUAGAUAUUAGGAGGAACACCAGUGGCGAAGGCGGCCUGCUGGGCUUUUACUGACGCUGAGGCUCGAAAGCGUGGGGAGCAAA
rnacentral:rRNA from 1 species